rnacentral:rRNA from 1 species
CACGCCAAAUAGCUAGCCCACUAACCAAAUUCAACAAAUACCCAUUAAUAACCCCAAAUACACAACAACCACACCAAACAAACCAUUUUUCCACCCCAGUAUAGGCGAUAGAAAAG